rnacentral:sRNA from 1 species
AAUCAUAAUAAUGUGAAAUGAGUAACACUUGACAAAAACGAAAACAAGAUCAAAUAAUCUUAGCGUGGGUGUAUGUAGAAUUACCAGCAGCCACAAUGUAUCCUUAAGAAAGUGACGUCUAAUCGUCGGUAUGCGACCAGUAGAAAAACAAAGCCUGUCCGAAGAUGUUCUCACCAACAGGUGGUGAGGUUGAUUUCCCCAAACGACCCCAUUAACUCCUACAUAUAUGCCAAAAUUUACCAUUAAAAUAUUGUAAAACAGCCACCAUUGUAAAACUGAAAUAAAAUAGAAAGCAUAAACAUACAUGAUGUCGGCGCAUUCCGAGAACUGAAAGAUAUAAAAAUACAAUUCCAACAGAUCCAAGGAAACCGGAACAUGCCUGUAUAUAAUUUUGAAGAGAUUUCAAAAUUAAAAAAAAGUCCAAUAUAUGAAAAAUUUAAACUUAGCAACAAUAAAAACGCCGUUGAAUAAUAUUUGUAUAUGUGCUUAAAAAUCUCCAUCAAAAUUAAACUACAAUUGUUUAUGCAAGUGUAUAAUGUUUUCGUUUUUUUCUUUUUGUAACAAAUGUUCUUUCUUCACAGAG